CUUUGUGACAUUUUUAUCUUUAAUUAUGUUGUAUUAAGCUCCAUGAGUGACCAAUUUCUUCUCCUAAUGUGUGAAAAUAACCUGCCUCCGAUACUUGUAAUUUGAAAGGUUAUUAGUUGCUUCUAGUCUAACCUUAUACCAUUUUGGUGGCCUAAUGACCAGAAAUUUAAUUUAAUAUAACUUUCACAUUUCAAAACACCAAAA